UCCCUCGUGGUCUAGUGGUUAAGACUCUGCCUUCCCAAAGCAGGGGGCCUGGGUUCAUUUCCUGGUCAGGAAA
rnacentral:tRNA from 1 species